GACGAGGGGUCCUAGCGUUGUUCGGAAUCAUUGGGCGUAAAGGGUGUGUAGGCGGUCUUGUAAGUCAGUUGUGAAAGCCCCGGGCUCAACCCGGGAAGUGCUUCUGAUACUGCAUGACUUGAGUACUGGAGAGGAUAGUAGAAUUCCAGGUGUAGUGGUGAAAUACGUAGAUAUCUGGAGGAAUACCGGUGGCGAAGGCGGCUAUCCGGCCAUGUACUGACGCUGAAACACGAAAGCGUGGGGAGCAAACAGG
rnacentral:rRNA from 1 species